AAUGAACGUUGGCGGCAUGGAUUAGGCAUGCAAGUCGCGCGAUAACUGAGAAAGCUUGCUUUCGAGGGGACAGCGGCGAAAGGGAGAGUAACAGGUGGUUUAUCUACCCUCGGGUUUGGGAUAGUGUCGGGAAACUGGCAGUAAUACCAAAUAACAUCUACGGAUCAAAGUUCCGGCGCCCGGGGAUGAGACUGCUCACUAUUAGCUUGUUGGCGGGGUAAUGGCCCACCAAGGCGACGAUGGUUAGCGGGCGUGAGAGCGUGGCCCGUCUCACUGGGACUGAGAUACUGCCCAGACACCUACGGGUGGCUGCAGUCGAGAAUCUUUGGCAAUGGGCGCAAGCCUGACCAAGCGAUGCCGCGUGCGGGAUUAAGGCCUUCGGGUUGUAAACCGCUGUCAGAGGGGAAGAAAUUUUGACUGAUCCUCAGAGGAAGGACGGGCUAAGUUCGUGCCAGCAGCCGCGGUAAAAC
rnacentral:rRNA from 1 species